rnacentral:rRNA from 1 species
ACGCUCGACACCUACGGGCAGCAGUGGGGAAUAUUGCACAAUGGGGGAAACCCUGAUGCAGCGACGCCGCAUGAGCGAAGAAGUAUUUCGGUAUGUAAAGCUCUAUCAGCAGGGAAGAAACUGACGGUACCUGACUAAGAAGCACCGGCUAAAUACGUGCCAGCACGGCCGGUACGGUAAUCUGGAGGCGGGCGUGGACGAAGGC